rnacentral:rRNA from 1 species
AUUGAACGCUGGCGGCAGGCCUAACACAUGCAAGUCGAGCGGAUGAAGGGAGCUUGCUCCUGGAUUCAGCGGCGGACGGGUGAGUAAUGCCUAGGAAUCUGCCUGGUAGUGGGGGAUAACGUCCGGAAACGGGCGCUAAUACCGCAUACGUCCUGAGGGAGAAAGUGGGGGAUCUUCGGACCUCACGCUAUCAGAUGAGCCUAGGUCGGAUUAGCUAGUUGGUGGGGUAAAGGCCUACCAAGGCGACGAUCCGUAACUGGUCUGAGAGGAUGAUCAGUCACACUGGAACUGAGACACGGUCCAGACUCCUACGGGAGGCAGCAGUGGGGAAUAUUGGAUAAAGGGCGAAAGCCUGAUCCAGCCAUGCCGCGUGUGUGAAGAAGGUCUUCGGAUUGUAAAGCACUUUAAGUUGGGAGGAAGGGCAGUAAGUUAAUACCUUGCUGUUUUGACGUUACCAACAGAAUAAGCACCGGCUAACUUCGUG